GGGCCGAAAUGCAGCGAAGGAGCCGUGAAAAGGACUUGGCGGAAUGCUUUGGUUGUAGAUUGAGAGACAGUGGGACACGGUGGCCGAAGAGAAGGAAUGAACUGGUUAAGUCCAAACCCACUGUCCACGGUUCUUCUACACUCGAGGGCCAAACGUUGUGGGAAACGUGAUUUUGGACUUCAUCUGAUCUGUGAGGACUUCAAGCCAGACAGAUACUAGUAUAUAUACAAGUCUGUGAACUCAAAAUAUGAUACAUGGCCAGUGGAUUAGUUCCAUUGCUUUGAAGACGAUGCCGAAAGUCAGAGGUAGAACGGCAAUUUUUAAUUGAAAUACAGCUGAACUACCUUCUUCGAACUUGUAGCCUAGUGACUAGCUCGGAGAUAUUAUAAUGACAUCACCACCUCAAUAUUUACAAGAAACUGGAACGCCAUAGACACAGGCUAACACUGUGGCUUCACCCAGGUUGAAAUCAUGCACGCUGCAGUACAACAGCAAUUCCAAUCCAAACAUAUAUUCUCACAAAAUCGCACUUCAUGCGAACGACUCCUCGCAAUUGAAUUCGCAAGCCAACUACCG